rnacentral:rRNA from 1 species
UAAGGAAUAUUGGUCAAUGGACGCAAGUCUGAACCAGCCAUGCCGCGUGAAGGAUGAAGGUCCUCUGGAUUGUAAACUUCUUUUAUCUGGGACGAAAACGGGAUUUUUAUCUCAAUUGACGGUACCAGAGGAAUAAGCACCGGCUAACUCCGUGCCAGCAGCCGAGGUAAUACGGAGGGUGCGAGCGUUAUCCGGAUUUACUGGGUUUAAAGGGUGCGUAGGUGGGCUUAUAAGUCAGUGGUGAAAUCUCCGAGCUUAACUUGGAAACUGCCGUUGAUACUAUAGGUCUUGAAUUAUCUGGAGGUGAGCGGAAUAUGUCAUGUAGCGGUGAAAUGCUUAGAUAUGACAUAGAACACCAAUUGCGAAGGCAGCUUACUACAUAUAAAUUGACGCUGAGGCACGAAAGCGUGGGGAUCAAACA